rnacentral:rRNA from 1 species
UGCAAGUCGAGCGGACAGAUGGGAGCUUGCUCCCUGAUGUUAGCGGCGGACGGGUGAGUAACACGUGGGUAACCUGCCUGUAAGACUGGGAUAACUCCGGGAAACCGGGGCUAAUACCGGAUGGUUGUUUGAACCGCAUGGUUCAAACAUAAAAGGUGGCUUCGGCUACCACUUACAGAUGGACCCGCGGCGCAUUAGCUAGUUGGUGAGGUAACGGCUCACCAAGGCAACGAUGCGUAGCCGACCUGAGAGGGUGAUCGGCCACACUGGGACUGAGACACGGCCCAGACUCCUACGGGAGGCAGCAGUAGGGAAUCUUCCGCAAUGGACGAAAGUCUGACGGAGCAACGCCGCGUGAGUGAUGAAGGUUUUCGGAUCGUAAAGCUCUGUUGUUAGGGAAGAACAAGUACCGUUCGAAUAGGGCGGUACCUUGACGGUACCUAACCAGAAAGCCACGGCUAACUACGUGCCAGCAGCCGCGGUAAUACGUAGGUGGCAAGCGUUGUCCGGAAUUAUUGGGCGUAAAGGGCUCGCAGGCGGUUUCUUAAGUCUGAUGUGAAAGCCCCCGGCUCAACCGGGGAGGGUCAUUGGAAACUGGGGAACUUGAGUGCAGAAGAGGAGAGUGGAAUUCCACGUGUAGCGGUGAAAUGCGUAGAGAUGUGGAGGAACACCAGUGGCGAAGGCGACUCUCUGGUCUGUAACUGACGCUGAGGAGCGAAAGCGUGGGGAGCGAACAGGAUUAGAUA